AGUGAACGCUGGCGGUAGGCCUAACACAUGCCAGUCGAACGGCAGCACAGUAAGAGCUUGCUCUUACGGGUGGCGAGUGGCGGACGGGUGAGGAAUACAUCGGAAUCUACUUUUUCGUGGGGGAUAACGUAGGGAAACUUACGCUAAUACCGCAUACGACCUACGGGUGAAAGCAGGGGAUCUUCGGACCUUGCGCGAUUGAAUGAGCCGAUGUCGGAUUAGCUAGUUGGCGGGGUAAAGGCCCACCAAGGCGACGAUCCGUAGCUGGUCUGAGAGGAUGAUCAGCCACACUGGAACUGAGACACGGUCCAGACUACUACGGGAGGCAGCAGUGGGGAAUAUUGGACAAUGGGCGCAAGCCUGAUCCAGCCAUACCGCGUGGGUGAAGAAGGCCUUCGGGUUGUAAAGCCCUUUUGUUGGGAAAGAAAAGCAGCAGGUUAAUACCCCGCUGUUCUGACGGUACCCAAAGAAUAAGCACCGGCUAACUACGUG
rnacentral:rRNA from 1 species